AAGUCUAAUUUUUUAUAUUGAAGGAGAAAAAUUAAAUCUUAAUGACCAUGAGUUUGAUUUCUAAACAUGAUAAACUAUGGCAACUUCCCAUCGAUGAUCAACUCAUCAUUAAAAAAUCAAGCUAGCAUAUCAUGGACUGAACUAUCCCUGUUUUGGGUCUUACGUGUGCAACAUGGCGAUAUGGAUAACUUGGUCCAGACCAACAAAAAGGCCAUCAAAAAUCAAACGAUAAUACUAAAGCAUCUCCAGGAUCGCAAUAGUUAAAGUAUAUUCCUCCAAUUGAAUCCUUUUUCUAAGAAAGUUCUUAUGGUUUCUCUUUUUACAGGAUUUUUCUACCUUACCAAAAAUUCAACAAAAUGACAUUAUUCUCAUUCUUAUUCUACCCAUUUGGUCUACAUAUCUUGUUUUCCUUCCCAUAAUCUUAUUCAAGAAUUUUGUCUCACCCUUUGUGGUUUAGUUUAUCAUUUUGCAUAGCACAAAUUAUAUAGUUAGCCUAAUCAGUACUUUAGAUCUUUCGCAAUCUUUUACCCCAUUUCUUGAAGCAUCACCUCUUCUUCAACUCUGACAUUCCUUGAAUUAGCUUUUCAUGUGCAUAUUGCUUACUUCAAGAUUUUUAAAAACUUCUCUCCUAAUCAAUUAAUACAAUCUCAAGUUUCAGCAAUGCACCUUCAAUGAAUUAUUACUUGAUGUUUUCUCAAUCCAUCUAAGCCCCAUCACACCUUAUUCCUUACGAUUCUACAACUUCAUCCUUUUCUUCUUGUUCCUGGUUUGCACAUUCUAUGGGCUAACCCUCCCUUCAAAUGAGGGUUAUAAUAUAGGCUUGUUAUUUUUCAAUUAUCCAAUUUAAA
rnacentral:lncRNA from 1 species